rnacentral:rRNA from 1 species
GAAAUCAUACCUAUUCGAAGGGAUAGGGUCGGUUCGGCCGGAUUUUACACAAGUGUUGCAUGGCUGUCGUCAGCCGUGUCGUGAGAUGUUGGGUUAAGUCCCGCAACGAGCGCAACCCUCAUCCUUAGUUGCUAUCAGGUAAUGCUGAGACUUUAAGGAAACUGCCAGUGAUAAGCUGGAGGAAGGUGGGGAUGAUGUCAAGUCAUCAUGGCCUUUAUGGAGUGGGCUACACACGUGCUACAAUGGUGUCUACAAUGGGCUGCAAGGUGCGCAAGCCUAAGCUAAUCCCUAAAAGACAUUCAGUUCGGAUUGUACUCUGCAACUCGAGUACAUGAAGUUGGAAUCGCUAGUAAUCGUGGAUCAGCAUGCCACGGGAAUACGUUCUCGGGUCUUGUACACACUGCCCGUC